rnacentral:rRNA from 1 species
AAUGAACGUUGGCGGCGUGGAUUAGGCAUGCAAGUCGUGCGAGAAGUUCUCUUAGCUUGCUUUGAGAACGGACAGCGGCGAAAGGGAGAGUAACGCGUGGUUACGUGCCCCGAGGUCCAGGAUAGCGUUGGGAAACUGGCGGUAAUACUGGAUGAUAUCUUCGGAUCAAAGGUGUGAUUCCGCCUUGGGAUCGGACCGCGUACUAUUAGCUUGUUGGUGGGGUAACGGCCUACCAAGGCUGCGAUGGUUACCGGGUGUGAGAGCAUGGCCCGGCUCACUGGGACUGAGACACUGCCCAGACAUCUACGGAUGGCUGCAGUCGAGAAUCUUCGGCAAUGGACGAAAGUCUGACCGAGCGACGCCGCGUGCGGGAUGAAGGCCCUCGGGUUGUAAACCGCUGUCAGUUUGGAGGAAGGAAGUAUGAAGAAUGCUUCUUGACCGAUAUUCAGAGGAAGGACGGGCUAAGUUCGUGCCAGCCGCCGCCGUAACAC